GGCGCGGCAGGCCCCGAGGGGCGCCGUGAGGGAGCUGGGUGCGGGUCUCGGCUCCGCCUCCGGCCGUGGGGCCGACGGAGUCCAGGGCAGGGUACCCAAGUGCGUGUAUCUGAAGUUACUGCGUUCUGAAAAAAGAGUCCCGAUCUCCAAGCGCCCGCACUCCCUCAGGCACCCCCGGGGCUGGGAGAUACUCGCCCGAGAAUAACUGCAUCUGAACUGAGCACAGCUAUCCAUCUGCUUCAGGCAGCCGGAGUGCCUCUCUCCCGCCUGGAGGGGCCGGAGCCGCCGUGCGCUCCCGGGGUCCGGCCCCUCGGGCCGCAGGUGUCCGCGCCGCGCCGCCGGUGCGCUCGCUGCCCUCAGCUCCGCUCCCACGGCUUGUACGCCGGGUGCGGGCAUCCUGCAGGGGUGCCUUCAUUUGUUCAACAGCAUCAUGCACUCUUCUUUCAGGAUAGACGGGCUUCACCGGGCUCGGUGACAGCGGGCUCUCGGCUGAUAUAAAAACCACGAAUUUAGCUACUGGCUUUGCCUGUACACCUGGAACGGGGCAGUGCCAAGUCUGAUCUCCGCUUGCAGAAGUCACUUGUUUUUGAUGAAGGAAAACACGGUUAAUAUCUCUGAAACGGCCAAAUUUUUCCAUCAUUCUGGAACCGCCUCUUGAAAUCUGCUGGGAAAUGUCCCCAGCGUACUGACCACCGCCCCGGUGGUUCUGUGGAGAGGUGACUUUGUCCACGAUUGCUGUAACUUCCAGAGUUGAAUAGCUGCCCUUCGGCCUCUAGUCCUUUCACAUCUUGUACUUUAUCUACCGUAGCAUUUAUACAUUCAGUAUCUACACUGGGGCUUGUCGAGCCCGAGCCCUCGGGCGCUGGCCACGGGGAGAACCGGUGCGGACGCUGUCACCCACCCGGGCUGCGGGGAAGAAACCGAGUCCCGGUACACGGGGAAAGAGAAUCCUCGGUGAGCAACGGGCUUUGAUGGGGCUGUGUGGGGUCGGUAAGGUGGAUGCUCGUGUUCCCCGGUAUAAAUUAGCAGAAGCGUAUCCUACUGAUUUAUUUAUUUUUCCCAGACUAAUGGUGUUAUAGAAGACAUUCUCUCUGGCUCUUGUUGACAAAUAAGUCGUGAGCUACCUGACAGUGUUAGUCCAGUUGUUGCCCAUAUGUCUAAAUACCCUCCUAGAGACGUCAGUGCCGUUUAGGAAGAGAAUUACCUCAAAUGAAAACCAGAAGGAAGAUUUUUUUUUUAUCCUUUUCUUGUCCCCUAAACCCACGUUACACCUGAGGGCAGUAACAUACAGGGAAGAUUUUUGUAAAUUCAGUAUCACUUUCCCCCACAGCAACGAUCUCUUUAAAUGACAGGGUGAGGAGGGGUGCACU